UCAAGUUAUUAAGGGUGCAGGGCGGAUGCCUUGGCACUAGGAGCCGAUGAAGGACGUGAUAAGCUGCGAUAAGCUUCGGGGAGUUGCACGUAAACUUUGAUCCGAAGAUUUCCGAAUGAGGAAACUCACUUAGAGUAAUGUCUAAGUAUCAUUAAGUGAAUACAUAGCUUAAUGAGGGGAACUCAGGGAACUGAAACAUCUAAGUACCUGAAGGAAGAGAAAGAAAUUCGAUUCCGUAAGUAGCGGCGAGCGAACGCGGAUUAGCCCAAACCAAUAAAGUUUUCUUUAUUGGGGUUGCGGACAUAUCAUAACGAAGAGGUAUCGUAAUUGAAGAGGUUUGGAAAGACCCACCACAGAAGGUAAUAGUCCUGUAUGUUAAACGAGAAGACUUUAGAUAUGAUCCAGAGUACCACGGGACACGUGAAACCCUGUGGGAAGCAGGAGGGACCACCCUCCAAGGCUAAAUACUACCUAGUGACCGAUAGCGUAUAGUACCGUGAGGGAAAGGUGAAAAGAACCCCGGGAGGGGAGUGAAAUAGAACCUGAAACCCUGCACUUACAAGCUGUGGAAGCACAUUUCUUGUGUGACCGCGUACUUUUUGUAGAACGGGCCAACGAGUUACGUUAAGUAGCAAGGUUAAGCACUUAAGGUGCGGAGCCGUAGCGAAAGCGAGUUUUAACUGAGCGUUCAGUUACUUGACGUAGACCCGAAACCGGGCGACCUACCAUGAGCAGGAUGAAGCGAAAGUAAAAUUUCGUGGAGGUCCGAACCCACGAGCGUUGAAAAGCUCGGGGAUGACUUGUGGGUAGCGGUGAAAUUCCAAUCGAGCCCGGAGAUAGCUGGUUCUCCCCGAAAUAGCUUUAGGGCUAGCCUCAAGGUGAGAGAUACGGAGGUAGAGCACUGAAUGUCCUAGGGGGUAUUGCACCUACCGAAGACUAUCAAACUCCGAAUGCCGUCAUCUUAUACUUGGGAGUCAGACUGUGGGUGAUAAGAUUCAUAGUCGAAAGGGCAACAGCCCAGAUCGUCAGCUAAGGUCCCUAAAUGUAAGUUAAGUGGUAAAGGAUGUGGGAUUGCACAGACAACCAGGAUGUUGGCUUAGAAGCAGCCACUCAUUCAAAGAGUGCGUAAUAGCUCACUGGUCGAGUGAUCCUGCGCCGAAGAUUUCCGGGGCUAAAACUUACUACCGAAGCUACGGCAUCAGUAAUGAUGGGUAGGGGAGCUUCCCAUACGGGUUGAAGCAUGACCGUAAGGACAUGUGGACAGUAUGGGAGUGAGAAUGUUGGCAUGAGUAGCGAGAUGUGGGUGAGAAUCCCACAGGCCGUAAACCCAAGGUUUCCAGGGGAAGGUUCGUCCGCCCUGGGUUAGUCGGGACCUAAGCUGAGGCCGAAAGGCGUAGGUGAUGGACAACAGGUUGAUAUUCCUGUACUACCGAUAACCGUUUGAGAGAAGGGAUGACACAGUAGGAUAAGCUAAGCACACUGUUGGUUAUGUGUGCCCAAGCAUUGAGGCAGUCAAAGUAGGUAAAUCCGCUUUGAUAAUGCUGGGAUGUGAUGGGGAGCGAAAUUUAGUAGCGAAGUAGCUGAUUUCACACUGUCAAGAAAAGUCUCUAUCGAGGUUAAAGGUACCCGUACCGCAAACCGACACAGGUGGGUGAGGAGAGUAUCCUAAGGCCAGCGAGAGAACUGUUGUUAAGGAACUCGGCAAAAUGACCCCGUAACUUAGGGAUAAGGGGUGCCACCAUCAGGUGGCCGCAGAGAAUAGGCCCAAGCGACUGUUUACCAAAAACAUAGGUUUCUGCUAAGUCGCAAGACGAUGUAUAGGAGCUGACGCCUGCCCGGUGCUGGAAGGUUAAGGGGAUCUGUUAGAGCAAUCGAAGCAGUGAACUUAAGCCCCAGUAAACGGCGGCCGUAACUAUAACGGUCCUAAGGUAGCGAAAUUCCUUGUCGGGUAAGUUCCGACCCGCACGAAAGGCGUAACGAUUUGGGCACUGUCUCAACAACAGACUCGGUGAAAUUGUAAUUCCGGUGAAGAUGCCGGAUACCUGCGACAGGACGGAAAGACCCCAUGGAGCUUUACUGUAGCUUGACAUUGGGUCUUGGUACUACAUGUACAGGAUAGGUGGGAGGCUUUGAAACCAGGACGCCAGUUUUGGCGGAGCCAUCCUUGGGAUACCACCCUUGUAGUACUGGGACUCUAACCAUAGGCCAUGAAUCUGGUCUUGGGACACUGUCAGGUGGGCAGUUUGACUGGGGCGGUCGCCUCCCAAAAGGUAACGGAGGCGCUCAAAGGUUCUCUCAGUACGGUCGGAAAUCGUACGUAGAGUGUAAAGGCAAAAGAGAGCUUGAUUGCAAGACAUACAGGUCGAGCAAGGAUGAAAAUCGGACUUAGUGAUCCGGUGGUUCUGCGUGGAAGGGCCAUCGCUCAACGGAUAAAAGCUACCCUGGGGAUAACAGGCUUAUCUCCCCCAAGAGUCCACAUCGACGGGGAGGUUUGGCACCUCGAUGUCGGCUCAUCACAUCCUGGGGCUGUAGUAGGUCCCAAGGGUUGGGCUGUUCGCCCAUUAAAGUGGUACGCGAGCUGGGUUCAGAACGUCGUGAGACAGUUCGGUCCCUAUCCGUCGCAGGCGUAGGAAAUUUGAGAAGACCUGUCCUUAGUACGAGAGGACCGGGAUGGACGUACCUCUGGUGUACCAGUUGUUCUGCCAAGGGCAUGGCUGGGUAGCUAUGUACGGAAUGGAUAAGCGCUGAAAGCAUCUAAGCGCGAAGCCAACUUCAAGAUAAGAUUUCCCACCGCAAGGGUAAGACCCCAGAAAGACUAUCUGGUUGAUAGGUCGAAGGUGUAAGUGCAGCAAUGUAUUUAGCUUAUCGAUACUAAUAGGUCGAGGACUUGACCAA
rnacentral:rRNA from 1 species